rnacentral:rRNA from 1 species
CAGACCGCCAGCUAAGGUCCCAAAGUCAUGGUUAAGUGGGAAACGAUGUGGGAAGGCCCAGACAGCCAGGAUGUUGGCUUAGAAGCAGCCAUCAUUUAAAGAAAGCGUAAUAGCUCACUGGUCGAGUCGGCCUGCGCGGAAGAUGUAACGGGGCUAAACCAUGCACCGAAGCUGCGGCAGCGACGCUUAUGCGUUGUUGGGUAGGGGAGCGUUCUGUAAGCCUGUGAAGGUGUGCUGUGAGGCAUGCUGGAGGUAUCAGAAGUGCGAAUGCUGACAUAAGUAACGAUAAAGCGGGUGAAAAGCCCGCUCGCCGGAAGACCAAGGGUUCCUGUCCAACGUUAAUCGGGGCAGGGUGAGUCGACCCCUAAGGCGAGGCCGAAAGGCGUAGUCGAUGGGAAACAGGUUAAUAUUCCUGUACUUGGUGUUACUGCGAAGGGGGGACGGAGAAGGCUAUGUUGGCCGGGCGACGGUUGUCCCGGUUUAAGCGUGUAGGCUGGUUUUCCAGGCAAAUCCGGAAAAUCAAGGCUGAGGCGUGAUGACGAGGCACUACGGUGCUGAAGCAACAAAUGCCCUGCUUCCAGGAAAAGCCUCUAAGCAUCAGGUAACAUCAAAUCGUACCCCAAACCGACACAGGUGGU